UCUAAGGUGCCUGACUAAAGGAGUAUUUUGAUGGAAUACGAAUGGGAGUAAAACCCCCUUAGAA
rnacentral:tRNA from 1 species